UAAAUUGUGAUAUUUAAUUAAAAUAUAAAAUAAAUAAUUUAAGAGAAAACAUUAUAUGUGAAAGAAUCAGCCUUAAAAUAGAGUCUGAUACGCAUGCGUUAGGGUUUUAACAAUCCCUCGCCGCCCUUUACUAUAUCUCAUCGCGAAGGCCUUUCUUUACAGAGAAGUAGUUAGGCAUAACAGACAGUGAGAUGGGAACAAAGCUAAAGAAAGCUACGAAGAAGAACAUGAAAAGGGUUUCCUCUAACAAGCGAUCUGAGUUGGUUAUUAAGAACCACAAUACUACACAAAAGAAUCACCUUUUGCGUCUUGAAAUUGAACAGUCUAUACGGGAAGUUGAACUUCUUAUUUCUGAGUUAGAAGAAUGGUUUGAAACAGCUGGCUAAGGAUGAUGUCAGUAAAAAUGUUGGUGCAAGAUAUGAGGUUGAUAGAGACCAAAGUAAUAUGUAUAUGCGGAUGAAGGUUGAACUAUGAAAAUGGUUUAAGAAUCGUGCCGUUAAAACUUUAUUUGUGGGUUAUGAGAGUAAAAGGGACUGAAAUAGUUAUGUGUUGUUAACAUAGUUUAGUAUAAAUACAUUAGUUUGUUAACAUUCUUGUUAUUAAGUAUGUUCAUGUUGUGCCUUUCAUUUGGUUUCA